UCUCCCCCAUAGAGUGGGAGGCUGAAGCACAUGGGAUGCCAAAUCGGAACGACUCCCAAUGCGGAUACUUUAUUAAUCCAUAAUUUAAAAAAAAACUUUACAACAAUGUUCUAUAAAAAUCACAAACACCUGUAAAACAUGCAAAUGGUGGAGAAUUGUAAUUAUUCAUUAACCCUUCCACCAUUAGAGAUGGACAAUUGGUGAUAAUAAUCCAUUCUGAUUUUAUGAAUAAAGAAACAUUAUAUGGACUCGAUGAGAACGUAUGAAUUAAGGGCUGGGAAGAGCGACGCAGCCGCGGCAUUUACAGGAUGUGUCAUUCGCUGCAAAUUUAGACGACUUAUGAAGAAGAACUUCCUUUUUGUUGACACAUGGGAAGUAAUUUGUCAUGACACAGGAGGGUCUGGAACCACUGAUGUUUAUGUGAGCGAGGGAAAUGAGUCCUUGUCCACUCCAAGUAGGAACGUUUCAUGAGCUUCAUUUAGGAAAUGAUAAAUAAAGGAAU